rnacentral:ncRNA from 2 species
CAAAAUGCGAUGAAGAGAGAAGUAGAUAAAGCGAUUCUUUCCCAGAGAGCUCCGUCCGCUGAAAAGGAGCAAAGAAGCCUUUAUUGAAAAAAGACUCCGAGCAGCGCGCAGGAACCGGCUUGAGCGGGGAUGGCGCGACGGGAGCUCCUGUUACAGAGCUAGAGUAUACGCAUCUUGCCUCAUGCAUGGCUUGGCGCUGCCGUACUCGAAGAGGCCGAUUGGGCGACCAAGCCGGCGAACCUGGGUGGUACCACGAGGAAUCCAAUCUCGUCCCUGAG